ACUUGAUGACCCUGGAUGCAAAGAGUUAACAGAGAUAUGGCAUGAACAUGUAUUAGAAAAAUGAUUCACACACAAUAGAAAAAAUAAGUAAGACCAGGAUUGGGUGGCUUUGGAGAAUGUAAUUUCAGCUUGAAUAUGAAGAUGCUUGUAGAACAGUGUUCCUUCCUCUGAACAUGGCUACAGAAGAACAAAUCAGUUAGUCUGAAGAUGAAAACAAGAAGCUGAUGGUAGACACAUUCUGAACUGGCUAACACAACACUCUGAAACUGGAGGAUAUCAACUGAUAAGAUAUGAAGUUCUCCCUUAGUUUCAAAUACACUGGGUUCAUAAAUUAUUGACAUAAACAAUAGAUGUCCCAUCAAGCUACCAUGAAGAUAGCUAGGUCUGCACAACUCCUCAAGUGUCGACCCCUCCAAGCACAUCCUCCACCUGGAACUGUGAA
rnacentral:lncRNA from 1 species